CCUACGUGAGGCAGCAGUGAGGAAUAUUGGUCAAUGGGCGCGAGCCUGAACCAGCCAAGUAGCGUGAAGGAUGACUGCCCUACGGGUUGUAAACUUCUUUUAUAAAGGAAUAAAGUGAGGCACGUGUGCCUUUUUGUAUGUACUUUAUGAAUAAGGAUCGGCUAACUCCGGGCCAGCAGCCGCGGUAAUACGGAGGAUCCGAGCGUUAUCCGGAUUUAUUGGGUUUAAAGGGAGCGUAGAUGGGUUGUUAAGUCAGUUGUGAAAGUUUGCGGCUCAACCGUAAAAUUGCAAUUGAUACUGGCAGUCUUGAGUACAGGUGAGGUAGGCGGAAUUCGUGGUGUAGCGGUGAAAUGCUUAGAUAUCACGAAGAACUCCGAUUGCGAAGGCAGCUUACUAAACUGCCACUGACAUUGAUGCUCGAAAGUGUGGGUAUCAAACAGGAUUAGAUACCCUGGUAGUC
rnacentral:rRNA from 1 species